UACGGGGGGGGCAAGCGUUGUUCGGAAUUACUGGGCGUAAAGGGCUCGUAGGUGGCCAACUAAGUCAGACGUGAAAUCCCUCGGCUUAACCGGGGAACUGCGUCUGAUACUGGAUGGCUUGAGUUCGGGAGAGGGAUGCGGAAUUCCAGGUGUAGCGGUGAAAUGCGUAGAUAUCUGGAGGAACACCGGUGGCGAAGGCGGCAUCCUGGACCGCCACUGACGCUGAGGCGCGAAAGCGUGGGGAGCAAACAGG
rnacentral:rRNA from 1 species